GUUCUACUCCCUCUGUUCCAAAUUACUCAUCACAGAAAUGGAUGUAUCUAGAACUAAAAUACAUCUAGAUACAUUCAUACUUGCGACAAGUAAUUCAGAACGGAGGGAGUAUUCA
rnacentral:pre_miRNA from 1 species